GGUACUUCAGGGUAAGGGCCUUAAAAAAAAAAUCAUUGAAUCUAACUGACUCAUUUAACAUUGAGAGGAGAAAACUGAAGCCUAGAAAGCAAAAACUGACUUCUCCAGUGACAAGGAUAAAACCAGAUUUUAAAUCUGGGCGUCCUGGUUCCCAAGACAAAAUGACUUCCACUAUACCAUCCUGUCAUCCUAAUCUCUAGCUCUAUAUCUAUACUGGGAUUUAACUCCCAAUUUAUAUGCUGGAACGAUGAAUUCCCAAAGCAAUACUUGUGGAAAAGAAGAGAUGGAUACUUUUGCUACUUGAUUAUAUGAAACACUUGCUUGAUCACACACCUGGAAUGGAGAAAGAGCAAUGAUAAUACCUAUUUUAACUGUUGGAGAAAUUAAGACUCAAAGAAGAAAAGUGAUCUGCCAUAGGCAAAAGACUGAUAAAAAUGGAGAAAAGUGAGGUUGAGAGAAAUACUGAUUUAUGCAAGAUCAAGAUAUUAAAGGGCAGAUGAAAUGACUUUCCCAAGGUCACCUCAAUUCUGAUCUUCUUGCCUGAAGUCACAACUUUUGCCUCUACCCUAGAUCAUGUACCCAAGACCUUUAGGUUAAGUCACUCUAUUUCCUAAUCUUAUAAUAGAAAAAAGCAUCAUGGCUUAGUAGACCUGAAUUUGAACCAUGGCUCUGACACUCAUCUUGCUCUAUGACCUCGGCCAAGUUACAUCAACUGGGGAUAGAGGGGGUAUUCAUCAUCUAUCAAAUAUCAGUAAGAAUAGUAAGGUAGGUAGUUGAACAAGUUAUUUGUGGAAAUCAAAUUAAUUAUAUGUUAAAUUGGUUUGUAACCAAAAAGGGCUAUAUCAAUGCAAACUUAUUAUUAGAAAGAAUAUCUCUUCACCAUAGGUCCACACAAGUCACAGACACUGUAAGUGUUAAGUAUAAAACAAAAGUAAAACCAGAAAAAAAAUAAAAACUUUAACAAGGGAAAGUCUAGUUCUAGAAGUGAUUAUUCAUCACACAGUCAAUGAAGAUGCUAUUCAAAGUAUACCAAGCUUCCAUAAUGUAACUCAUUAAAAAAAAAAUAAGAUAAAAAUACAAGAAUUAAUUGAGCUAAAGGAAAACGUGGCUAAAACUUUUCAAAGAAUUUGGUAGACAAGACAUCUAGACUAACAUAGAUCUAGAACUAGACAGGACCAUCUUAAUCCAACCAUUCAGUAAACAUUCAGUUUACAGAUAAACUCAGGCUCUAUCUUCCCCCUCUCCCACAAAAAAAAAAUGUUGUGGGCUCCUUUUUAGGAGGAAAUGUGAACUCUGACAAUUGUCUAAUAAUGACUAAUAAUUACUCAAAAAGAAUGGCUGGAUAAAGUAGCACAUGGAUGGACAUACACACACAAACACACUCACACAUUCUGCUCUAGUUAAAAUCCUAUGUGAAAUUAUUAUGUCUAACUGGAAUUGGAACAAUUUUAAAAAUGAAACUGCCAAGCUAAAACUUCUCAAAAGUAACUAGGAUAGUAAUGGAUCUGGUAACCAUACUACAUACAUAUUAGUAACAAAGGUUUUUAUAUAACACUUAAGUUUGGGAUAAUGGAAACAGCAAUGAACUUGAAAUUAGGAGACCUGGGUUCAAAUUUAAUUUCUAGUACUUCCUGGUGACAAUCCUGGGCAAGUCAUAAUCUAAGUACCAGUUUCCGCUCAUGUGUAAAACAAGGAGCAAUGAUAUUUGCGACUGCUUAUGUAAUACUUAAUGCACAAUGUUAUUGUUAGUAAAGCAUUUUAUAAACCUUAAAAGUAUUAGAGAAAACUUCAAGUAGUAUGAUCACCAAUUCAAAGAACUGGAGAAAAACCUUGGAAGAUAAGGGGGAGGAAAUGAUUGCUAUCAGCAAGGAUUUGAGAGCUGGUCUGAGUGAUACUGGAGAACAAAAAUAAGUUAUAGGGAAGCAGAUAUCAAUUGAGUUUAAGGAACAACAAAAUCAGAGAACCUCAGAGAGAGUAAGAAUGGACCUUAGAGAUAUUUAGUUCAAUCCCCUCAUCUGUAUAAGAGCAUGGCCCUAACAAACAAUAAAAAUACUGUUCAGGACAUGAAGUCUGCUCAUUUUUCAUCUCACCUAGCUCUAGU